rnacentral:rRNA from 1 species
CCUACGGGAGGCAGCAGUGAGGAAUAUUGGUCAAUGGGAGGAAUCCUGAACCAGCCAUGCCGCGUGCAGGACGACGGCUCUACGAGUUGUAAACUGCUUUUGUACCGGGGUAAAAUGCUCUACGGGUAGGGUUUUGAAAGUACGGUACGAAUAAGGAUCGGCUAACUCCGUGCCAGCAGCCGCGGUAAUACGGAGGAUCCGAGCGUUAUCCGGAUUUAUUGGGUUUAAAGGGUGCGUAGGUUGUUUUAUAAGUUAGCGGUGAAAUACCGAUGCUCAACAUCGGGGCUGCCGCUAAUACUGUAGGACUAGAGAGCGGAUGCAGCAGGCGGAAUGUGUAGUGUAGCGGUGAAAUGCAUAGAUAUUACACAGAACACCGAUUGCGAAGGCAGCUUGCUAGGCCGGAUCUGACACUGAUGCACGAAAGCGUGGGGAUCGAACAGGAUUAGAUACCCUUGUAGUC